UUAAUACCGCAUAAUAUGCCGAAGUCGCAUGACUUUGGUAUUAAAGCAGCAAUGCACUUAGAGAUGAGUGUGCGUCCCAUUAGGUAGUUGGUGAGGUAACGGCUCACCAAGCCUAUGAUGGGUAGCCGGUCUGAGAGGAUGGUCGGCCACACGGGCACUGAGACACGGGCCCGACUCCUGCGGGAGGCAGCAGUAAGGAAUAUUGGUCAAUGGUGGAAACACUGAACCAGCCAUGCCACGUGGAGGAAUAAGGUCCUACGGAUUGUAAACUCCUUUUGACGAGGAAGAAAAUGUUAGAUUUAUCUAAUUUUGACGGUACUCGUAGAAUAAGCACCGGCUAACUCCGUG
rnacentral:rRNA from 1 species